AAAGUCUUAAUAAGGUUUCCGUAGGUGAACCUGCGGAAGGAUCAUUCGCAACAUGUGUUUUUUUUUAUAAUUUAUAAAAGAAAAGUGAAUCCUUCGCCACCCAUGUGCAAUGUUGCAAUGUAUGAGAAUAUCAUCAACUCUUUGCUUUGAACCAGUUCGUCUGAAAUAAACAUAUUCUUUGACUAACUUUAUUCAAAAAUACAACUUUCAACAACGGAUCUCUUGGCUCUC
rnacentral:misc_RNA from 1 species